CCUACGGGUGGCAGCAGUGGGGAAUAUUGCACAAUGGGGGAAACCCUGAUGCAGCGACGCCGCGUGAGGGAGGAAGUAUUUCGGUAUGUAAAGCCCUAUUAGAAGGGACGAAAAAAGACGGUACCUGCCUAAGAAGCCCCGGCGAAAUACGUGCCAGCAGCCGCGGUAAUAGGUAGGGGGCAAGGGUUACCCGGAUUUACUGGGUGUAAAGGGAGCGUAGACGGCAAGGCAAGCCAGAAGGGAAAGGGCAGGGCUCAAACCGGUACAUGCUUUUGAAACUGGGGUGCUGGAGUGCGGGAGAGGUAGGUGGAAUGCCUAGUGUAGCGGUGAAAUGCGUAGAUAUUGGGAGGAACACCAGUGGCGAAGGCGGCUUACUGGACUGAAACUGACGUUGAGGCUCGAAAGCGUGGGGAGCAAACAGGAUUAGAUACCCUAGUAGUC
rnacentral:rRNA from 1 species